UCCCAGGUGGUGGAGUGGUAAAGAAUCCACCUGCUAAUGCAGGAGACUCGGGUUCGACUCCUGAUUUGGGAA
rnacentral:tRNA from 1 species